UUUCGUCGUAGCACACAGUUUUUGACGCGUCGGGAAUGUCGGAAAGGUCCGGUCGGGAAUCUACCUGUUGGCCGGAUUUCGUUUCAGAACCCCUGCACGGUGCUCCUGUAUUCGUCGCUCCAGUUUUUUUGGCGACCGCCUCUGUUUCAAUAAAAGUUGCCAUCGGAUGUGUCGCCCCAGGAGGAAAUAAGUCUCGGAACGAUGAAUCCAUCGAAUAAUCGAAAAAAGCUCAUCAAGGCAGCAAAACAAAAUCCAGAGUCCAAGGUUAUUUCCAACCCACGGAUGUCGUGGGAGCACCGGAAGGUUAGGUUGUUAGGUUAUGGACGCUAGCCGCUAUCGAAUCAUCGCCAAAAAUUUCAUGCAUGGGGGAAAAUUAAGUACGGUUGAUUAAACGGAAUGUUAAAAUAUGAACACUAUGUCCA